rnacentral:rRNA from 1 species
UACAGAGGUGGCAAGCGUUGUUCGGAAUUACUGGGCGUAAAGGGCUCGUAGGCGGCCAACUAAGUCCGACGUGAAAUCCCCAGGCUUAACCUGGGAACUGCGUCGGAUACUGGAUGGCUUGAAUUCGGGAGAGGGAUGCAGAAUUCCAGGUGUAGCGGUGAAAUGCGUAGAUAUCUGGAGGAAUACCGGUGGCGAAGGCGGCAUCCUGGACCGACAUUGACGCUGAGGAGCGAAAGCUAGGGGAGCAAACGGG